GCUGCAUAAGCUUCUACAAUCAUCUUCUCAGCUUCUUUCUCUCCUUGUAGCACAGCCGCCUCAUCAUUCCAUUCUGCAAUAUUUCCUUCUCCAGAUGCAUCACCUGCACCUUGGUUCAUUAGAAAGAUUGAACACAGUAUUGGAAUUACAUCCCUAUGACUCUCCUCAUCGACCCCUUCUGAGCUAGGUAAUGAAACAGUUGU
rnacentral:misc_RNA from 1 species